rnacentral:rRNA from 1 species
CCUACGGGAGGCAGCAGUGAGGAAUAUUGGUCAAUGGGCGGAAGCCUGAACCAGCCAAGUCGCGUGAGGGAUUAAGGCCCUGCGGGUCGUAAACCUCUUUUGCCGGGGAGCAGAGGUCCGGACGUGUCCGGGCCGGGUGAGUACCCGGAGAAAAAGCAUCGGCUAACUCCGUGCCAGCAGCCGCGGUAAUACGGAGGAUGCGAGCGUUAUCCGGAUUUAUUGGGUUUAAAGGGUGCGUAGGCGGAAUGCCAAGUCAGCGGUAAAAUCGCGGGGUUCAACAUCACUCUGCCGUUGAAACUGGCGGUCUUGAGUGGGCGAGAAGUAGGCGGAAUGCGUGGUGUAGCGGUGAAAUGCAUAGAUAUCACGCAGAACUCCGAUUGCGAAGGCAGCAUACCGGCGCCCAACUGACGCUGAAGCACGAAAGCGUGGGUAUCGAACAGGAUUAGAUACCCGGGUAGUC